GCUUACAAGGUGCAAAGGCUGCAAAAGACCAAAUGAAAAACAGUUACCUGCUUUCAAGGAAUUUAUACUCUACUGAGAUUAUACAAAAAGGUCAAGGCUUUUCAGAGAUGGAUCAGUCUGACAUCCUUUUCAGUUCUGAAAUUCUGGAGAUAUCAUAAGUAAAACAUAGGGUCUAAGGUCAACUCCACCCAACCAGUGAACUCUUGAAAGCCCAAAGAUCUGGGAAGAGCCAACUGCAACUAGCCACCUCUCCACCCCUACGGAUUAUCACAAAUAUAAAUGUAAUU